UAGACGGAGAGAAACUGCAAAUGCUUCUUUUUGUUGAUGCUGUUGCCCUCGUAGCAUAAGUACUGCAAGAAUGUGAACAAUUACAGCCGAAAAUUCAAGCGGAAGCUGCUAUGAUAGAAUUCGAAAUUCACCCCUGAGGAGUGAAACAGACCCAGAUAUGUGAAGCUUGAAUAUAUCUACCUGAGUAAAGUGAUAUUUGCUGUUGCCUGCAUGUUCCAACCAGCCAAGAUGAUGUCAUAGAGCAUUUUUUCUAUACCCUGUUUAAGAAGGGCUGAGAAAAGGAUAGGAGAAGAAACUGGGUGCAGAAUUGGCUUUUGCCUCUUCUUCCUACCUGAGCCAUCCAGACAGCACAGCUGCCCCCCAGGUAGGUCUCAACUAAGAUGUGUACACGUGGUUGAGGCUACCAUAGAACACAGGAGCUUUGUAGAGCACAUCAAGUC
rnacentral:lncRNA from 1 species